GGGGAAUUUUGGACAAUGGGCGCAAGCCUGAUCCAGCAAUGCCGCGUGCAGGAUGAAGGCCUUCGGGUUGUAAACUGCUUUUGUACGGAACGAAAAGCUCUUCUCUAAUACAGAGGGGUCAUGACGGUACUGUAAGAAUAAGCACCGGCUAACUACGUGCCAGCAGCCGCAGUAAUACGUAGGGUGCGAGCGUUAAUCGGAAUUACUGGGCGUAAAGCGUGCGCAGGCGGUUUUGUAAGACAGAGGUGAAAUCCCCGGGCUCAACCUGGGAACUGCCUUUGUGACUGCAAGGCUAGAGUACGGCAGAGGGGGAUGGAAUUCCGCGUGUAGCAGUGAAAUGCGUAGAUAUGCGGAGGAACACCGAUGGCGAAGGCAAUCCCCUGGGCCUGCACUGACGCUCAUGCACGAAAGCGUGGGGAGCAAAC
rnacentral:rRNA from 1 species